UGAGGAAUUUUCCGCAAUGGGCGCAAGCCUGACGGAGUCAUACCGCGUGCGGGACGACGCUCUAGGGAGUGUAAACCGCUUUUGACAGGGAAGAAUCCAUGACGGUACCUGUCGAAUCAGCCUCGGCUAACUCCGUGCCAGCAGCCGCGGUAAUACGGAGGAGGCAAGCGUUAUCCGGAAUUAUUGGGCGUAAAGGGUUUGUAGAUGGUUGGAUGUGUCUGCUGUUAAAGCCAAUAGCUCAACUAUUGAGGUGCAGCGGAAACUAUUUAACUAGAGGACAGUAGGGGCAGAGGGAAUUCCCAGUGUAGCGGUGAAAUGCGUAGAUAUUGGGAAGAACACCGGUGGCGAAAGCGCUCUGCUAGGCUGUACCUGACAUUGAUGAACGAAAGCUAGGGGAGCGAAAGGGAUUAGAUACCCCUGUAGUCCUAGCUGUAAACGAUGGAUACUCGAUGUGGCGGGUAUUGACCCCCGCCGUGUCUAAGCUAACGCGAUAAGUAUCCCGCCUGGGAGA
rnacentral:rRNA from 1 species